AGGGCUCGGGAGAGACCUGCGGCCGGCAGGUGCGCAGGAACCGAAGGGGCAACGGAAAAAACGAUAAACUCUCAGGUAAAAGUACCGUGCC
rnacentral:ncRNA from 1 species